AGCAAGGUGGCUGAGGUUUAGGCGGUAGAUUGUAAGUCUAUUAACGGGUUAUUUUUCCUCUUGCUA
rnacentral:tRNA from 1 species